CCCGGCUUGAAAUGAAAUAGCUUAAUUGCAGUAUUUAGUGGUGCGUUUUGUGCGACUGAAUAGGCUGCUAGUGUUCAGAGAAGGUGAAACGCAAGCAAGUAAAGAGCUAGAGAAGCUAAUUUGGUCUGGCAAUCGCGGCCCUGCUCGGCACGGUCCAAUAUCUCAUUUCUCCAUGUGGCAUUUACACAGUGAACACUCGUGCGGUCAGGCUUCGACAAACGCAGCACGGACACGCCUUGCGUUACCGGAAUACAAUGCAGUUUUGAAGAUGGCACUUGGGGCUGCAUUGAGACAUGGAGAACCAGAUUCAGAGUGCAAGAAAUGAGAAUGAGGAAUAGCAGUCCUGCAGUCCUUCCACCCACAGUUAGUGGUUUGCACUGGAAAGGAGUGUUUGGACGAGAAUAAAACUAUAGCAUCAGCUCCCUAUUGCAAAUUCUGUAAGAUACAAGAAAUUUGUAAAAAUCCAAAUAUGAAAAAUCAGUCACCAUACCUUCACUCGU
rnacentral:lncRNA from 12 species